CGACUUCUCCUUGCACCGGCGACCUAUAGCACACCGAAUCCUUUUCUCUCUUCCUCUCUUUGUUGUGACCAUUACCAGCGGUGGUUAAGGAUACAGACUUGUGAAAGAUGGGCAAAGCUUCGAGGGACAAGAGGGAUAUCUAUUAUCGGAAAGCAAAAGAAGAAGGUUGGCGUGCUCGGAGUGCCUUCAAGCUCCUUCAGAUUGAUGAAGAGUUCAAUAUCUUUGAAGGAGUUAAUCGUGCGGUUGAUCUUUGUGCUGCGCCUGGUAGCUGGAGUCAGGUUUUGAGCCGAAAGUUGUAUCUCCCUGCCAAGAUGUCAUCUGAGCCAAAGGAUGAUAAUCUUCCUCUUAUUGUUGCUAUUGAUUUGCAGCCCAUGGCUCCAAUUGAAGGUGUCAUUCAAGUGCAGGGUGACAUUACAAAUGCACGGACAGCCGAAGUGGUAAUCAGACACUUUGAUGGAUGCAAAGCAGAUCUGGUUGUCUGUGAUGGUGCUCCUGAUGUUACUGGACUUCAUGACAUGGAUGAAUUUGUUCAGUCACAGCUCAUACUAGCGGGUUUGACCAUUGUUACUCACGUACUUAGAGAGGGUGGAAAAUUUAUUGCAAAAAUAUUUCGAGGUAAAGAUACAAGUCUCCUAUACUGUCAGCUGAAAUUAUUUUUCUCUGUUGUGACUUUUGCAAAACCAAAAAGUAGCCGUAAUUCCAGUAUAGAGGCAUUCGCAGUUUGUGAGAAUUAUUCCCCUCCUGAAGGAUUUAAUCAGAAAGAUUUACAUCGCCUCCUGGAAAAGGUGGGCAGUCCUUCCGGACAAGAAGACUUGGAUUGUAGUAGUGGAUGGUUGGAAGGACCAAAUAAGGUGUAUAUUCCUUUUUUGGCUUGUGGGGACCUUAGUGGGUAUGAUUCAGAUCGCUCAUACCCCCUUAGUGGAACUUACCAGAGUUUGGAUCCAGUUCAACCACCAAUUGCUCCCCCUUAUAAAAGAGCUCUUGAGAUGAAAAAGGCUUCAAGUCACGGGAUCCGGGAGUCAGAAAAGCUAUCCCUAGAAGGCUAGAAUCUUGAUCUUCUAUACUUCUUCAUUGAAACCCCUGCUUCAACUAAUGAAAAGGAUUUUGGUAUAAUUGAACUUCAGGGUUAGUUUAAGGAGUCUUUGGACUGAUUGGUGGAUAAUGAAUGGAGGUAAAUUUGCUGCAGCAGAUGAGCUGGUGAAAGAGCAUCAAAUAAAGAUGGGGCUUUAGUUUGGACCCCAAGAAUUACUAAUGAAAUUAAGAAAUCUUGGAGGGCAACUGGAGGUGGCUGAUAGCAAGCUUGUCCAUCAAAUGCAGUGAAAAACCAUAAAGAAAUCAUUUCAUUUCAUGUGGCAUCAUCCAAACAUGCUGUGAUUGAAGUUGGGCACGCAUUGUAGCCAUUGUUGUUACUCCCGCUUCACUUUGACCUACCACUAUAUAAAAGGUGAAAAUAGAUAAUACGUGUUUGUCUCGAAGAUAA